rnacentral:rRNA from 1 species
GACGAACGCUGGCGGCGUGCUUAACACAUGCAAGUCGAACGGAAAGGCCCUGCUUUUGUGGGGUGCUCGAGUGGCGAACGGGUGCGUAUCACGUGAGUAACCUGCCCUUGACUUUGGGAUAACUUCAGGAAACUGGGGCUAAUACCGGAUAGGAUCUCCUGCUGCAUGGUGGGGGUUGGAAAUUUUCGGCGGUUGGGGAUGGACUCGCGGCUUAUGAGCUUGCUGGUGGGGUAGUGGCUUACCAAGGCUUUGACGGGUAGCCGGCCUGAGAGGGUGACCGGGCACAUUGGGACUGAGAUACGGCCCAGAGUCCUACGGGAGGCAGCAGUGGGGAAUAUUGCACAAUGGGCGGAAGCCUGAUGCAGCAACGCCGCGUGCGGGAUGACGGCCUUCGGGUUGUAAACCGCAUUCGCCUGUGACGAAGCGUGAGUGACGGUAAUGGGUAAAGAAGCACCGGCUAACUACGUG